rnacentral:rRNA from 1 species
UACGAAGGGGGCUAGCGUUGCUCGGAAUCACUGGGCGUAAAGCGCACGUAGGCGGACUCUUAAGUCAGGGGUGAAAUCCUGGAGCUCAACUCCAGAACUGCCUUUGAUACUGAGAAGCUUGAGUCCGGGAGAGGUGAGUGGAACUGCGAGUGUAGAGGUGAAAUUCGUAGAUAUUCGCAAGAACACCAGUGGCGAAGGCGGCUCACUGGCCCGGUACUGACGCUGAGGUGCGAAAGCGUGGGGAGCAAACGGG